UGUGUGUGUGUGUGUGCGUGUGUGUGUGCGUGUGUGUGUGUGUGUGUGUGCGUGUGUGCGUGUGUGUGUGUGUGUGUGUGUGUGUGUGUGUGUGUGUGUGUGUGUGUGUGUGCGUGCGUGUGCGUGUGUGUGUGCGUGUGUGUGUGUGCGUGCGUGUGUGUGUGUGUGUGUGCGUGUGUGUGUGUGUGUGUGUGUGUGUGUGUGUGUGUGUGUGUAUGUGUGUGUGUGUGCGUGUGUGCGUGUGUGUGUGUGUGUGUGUGUGUGUCUGCAUGGAAUGUUUGCUCUGUUGUGGAGAGUGAUGGACCAGUUCAAGCGGCCGCCGUGAGAGGAAUCGUUUCCGACGAUUAGAAAAUCUUUCAAAUAGUUGAACAUCUUGACAAUGUGUGUGUUCUCUGCUCUGGUGGAGGACGGUCGUACUUUUCCGGGCUCUUGUUUCUGGCCUCCGUCCGUGCUUGUUCUCGCCGUUGUGGACGGUCUGGGGUGUCCCCAGCCGUCCAGGCCAACAGUGCCUGAGGUGGGGUAUUCACCGACAGGAGACUUGGUCGGAUAGGUACGAUGCCGACACUCUCCUCGUCGCCCCCACCUCGGAGUCCUUCGCGAGGCUUUGCAAGCCCGCGAGUGGAGCAAACUACCGCAUGAAGACGACGACUUGGAACGACUCUGAGCGUUGGCUCAUGGAAUGUUCACUCUGUUGUGGAGAGUGAUGGACCAGUUCUAGCGGCAGCCGUGAGAGGAAUCGUUUCCGAUGAUAAGCCAGAUCCAUAGCUGCUGGAGAUGGCUCUCUCGAACAUGGUCCCGUUCGUAGUUCUAUAUUGUCGGCCCCGUAAGGGGACACGUUACCGUAAUGGCAGUGUUUACCAGGACCAGUACCAGGUGUGUCUGAGGUGUGGUGAGCCCAUAAGUGAGAUCAUUUUCAAGUCCACCCAGAGUUUUGGGGAUUUCAGGGGGUGUCGGCCGUUGGGCGGUUCAAUAACCAAUUGAGUCAUCUUUCCAAGAUUCCUUUUGAGUCUCUCUCCCCUCUCCCGGGGAGACCCACGUGACCAGUUUUGGCAGUGAGCAACACGUGUGUGUGUGUGUUCAUGUGUCAUGUGCAUAUUAGGUCAUAUUGGUGUGAAGUCAGCCAUGACUAGUGGUUGUCUUCUGGGAGCAUGCUGUCAUCUGACCAAUCAAGAAACACAUGCCUGAGAAUACGGUAGUGUUUGGCGAGGGCGAUCAGCGUCGAGUGCAAGGUAAUGAACCCACGGAACCGACAUUACAGCUGGACUUCCUAACGAAGAUAUUGCCAAAUUUCCAUCACCUGCAGACGUCGCGGUCGGCAGCCCCAGCAGCAGCAGCAACAUCUUGACCAAAGCUAUCCUUGCCGUAUCCACCCUAUGUAGUCGUCUGAUUUUGCUGCAAACCAGCAUUUGUUGAUUGCGAGUCCCCCACGAUGCCAUUGACUAGAUCAGCAUACUGGUUGCCUUAUCGAAACCUAUUAAUUUCCUCUGCGUGUUCCGCUGUGGGACAUGUUAUCGUGUCGCAUUCUUUAACAUGCUGAUCAUAUAGCACAGAUAUUGUUUUAACAUUGUACUCAGCAGAGUGAUGCUGUCGUGCGUGUUCACGCCAGGUCGAUCAUCCGGUCUCACUUUCAUGCGCAUUGUCUGACUCAAUUGUGCAUGUAUGCACUACAGGCUGACAUGGGUAAAUUCACUACAUUGGGAAUAUAAUAAAUAAAUUGCAUCAGAGACUGCUAUAGAUAGCCGUCCAUGAUUUCUCUUCAGAGGCCAUUCGCGCAAGUUUUCUGCUUACCCCGGACGCCAGAACUUUCUCACCUAUUGCUCGGAAGUGACCGUUCAAGGCUAUACAGCCUAUAAUCUCUGUUGCUGCAUAAUCUCUGUUACUAGCAAAUGCCCGUUCAGGGCUAUACAUGUAAUCCCGUCGGCAUACCUCAGUCUGACAUGCUGACAUGUAGCGAGCGUAUACCAUAAAGUCUUGUAUAAAGGCCGCACUUGAAUAAAAGCCGCACUUGAAUAGGAGCCGCAAUUCUGGGCCCAUCAAAUCACACAUAAGCCUGGUUUUAGUGUUGACAUACAUAGAAAUACCUGUGUUGUACAGAAGCCUGUCUCAUAGAGAAGCCUGCAAAAUUUCACCAACAAAGUCAUAGAAGCCGCGGCUUUUGUACAAGACUUUACGGCAGCUCAAGUUUUCCUGCUGCUAUGCCAUCACCUCCACAGUAGGUAGGUAUAAUCAGACGUUCACCGGUCAAUCAUGUAUUUGAUUGUAUUGACUUGUCUUCCUGUGCAUGUCGACUUCUUGUUACUGCGGCCUCAUGAUAUUACACGUUCAUAUCAUGGAUGAUAAUAGGACAGUGCCCUUGUAUUUUCCUGGUUUUUUUUGUUUUUGUUUUUUUCUCGUUUUUUUCUCGUUUUUUGCGUUUUUUUCACACAUACAAUUGUUUUCAUUUUUUGGUGUUGUGUUCUAAUCAUUCGCCAUGCCACUGUCAAUUGUAUUCUGUUUGCUCGUAAAAGAGGCCUUUAUCGUAUAAUAAUCAUUAUUUGUCAUGAUAUCAUGGAUGGUGUCAAUCUGGCAAGCAAUAAUAAUUAUUAUUGUCGCUGCAGUUAACACUGUAGUUAGAAUACACACACACACACACACAUGAUUUGUUUCUUACAUGGCUGCAAGCUUAUGUAUUUGUGGCACAUUCUGACGUCGUUCUUGUAUCGUGUGAUCAAGAACUUUGCUCUUCUA